rnacentral:misc_RNA from 1 species
AAGAAGGGGAGGAAGAGAGAGAUCCAGAGAGAGAAAGGGAAAGCAACAGAGAGCAUUUUAGGGGGAAGUAGGAUUGUAUUGAAUAAUCUAAGACAUGAAUUAGACUAGAAGUGGCCUCAAAUAGCAACCCCAACCCAUAAUUCACAUUUUAUUCAAGAAAGUCAAGAUUUAAUGGAAUUUCUGUUGUAGGUAAAUUUUAAGAUAA